rnacentral:piRNA from 1 species
UGGGUUCCUAUGACCAGGCAGAAUGCAGUU